GCGCGUAUAGCUCAGUGGUUAGAGCGUCCGUUUCACAUGCGGAAGGUCGUUGGUCCAAAUCCAACUACGCGCA
rnacentral:tRNA from 2 species